rnacentral:rRNA from 1 species
CCUACGGGCGGCAGCAGUGGGGGAUAUUGCACAAUGGGGGAAACCCUGAUGCAGCGACGCCGCGUGGGUGAAGAAGCGCCUCGGCGCGUAAAGCCCUGUCAGCAGGGAAGAAAAUGACGGUACCUGAAGAAGAAGCCCCGGCUAACUACGUGCCAGCAGCCGCGGUAAUACGUAGGGGGCAAGCGUUAUCCGGAUUUACUGGGUGUAAAGGGGGCGCAGACGGCGAGGCAAGCAAGGAGUGAAAGCCCGGGGCCCAACCCCGGGACUGCUCUUGAAACUGCGUGGCUAGAGUGCAGGAGGGGCAGGCGGAAUUCCUGGUGUAGCGGUGAAAUGCGUAGAUAUCAGGAGGAACACCGGUGGCGAAGGCGGCCUGCUGGACUGCAACUGACGUUGAGGCCCGAAAGCGUGGGGAGCAAACAGGAUUAGAUACCCGAGUAGUC